UGAGUAUUAUAAGAAAAGUUAAAUUCUCCUCAUGUGUAGAACUCAUGUUUUCUAUUUUUCCUAUCUGGGCUUGCAACCUGCUUCUAGCCAUUGUUCAGUUAUUUCUAGUUGAGCAGCUAUCCGAUGUGAAUUCCCUUUAACCUGCCCUCUCUUCGAAGCCGAUAUAUAUUAUGGUGCUGUUUGGUUCCAUCAGUGGGAGUGGCAACGUAAAUGCAAUCAGGUUACGUUGGUGUGCGUUAUAUGGGAAAGCAAAGCGGGAUUUGUUUGGUUCAAUAUUGUGAGCAGGCGAGCAGCGAUCUGGAUGUGGUAAACCCCGUCAAGCAAGACGCUAGUUUUCCAACACUGGUUAUGGGCUACUAAGUAUAGAAAUAAUUGGCAUUUCUUAGGAGCCCGUGAUUUUGAAAUCAAGUUGCAUGGUUCAAAAGUCAAAACUAACAGAUCCAAUAUAGUGGCACCCAGGAAGAAUAUAUUCUAGGCUUUUUGAUAAUCUAUGAUCAACCUCUUUUUAUAGUACUCCCUACCCACAGGGGAAGUCGAAUUCCUGCUGCCUCCUUGAAAGAGAGAUGUUCUGAACCACUAAACGAUUGGGGGCGUCACCCGAUGAUAGCACCAUAUACAACCACUCGUCAUUAUACUAUAAUGAUAGUAUGAGCAGUUUUUUGGAAAUAUCAAUAUACUCUUCGAACUAGAUCAAAGAAAAGAGUCUUUACUACUUUUCUGGUAUGCUUUCAUAGGAUUUUUUUUAAUUGAUGGUUAGGUUAAUUCACGGAUCAUCCCCUACUUUUUGCUUUCUGUUGGGAUCUACUUUAUUAAUGAUUGAGCUAUCUGCUGCAUUCUUGACUAAUUACAGUCAACCUUGAACUACUUUCGAAUCAAAUUCAAAGUACCUAUUCCUUGACCUGGUGGAUUUCUUUUAUGUGUUUUAAAAAAUAGAUGCUUGCAAAAUAAUUUGACUUUUAUCCUAUUGCAACUGAUAUCAGUUCUCAUAUUUGGAAUAUAUGAAUACCAGAGGAUCUAUUCAUGUUUUUCUAUUAUUGUUGAUUAACUACUUACUCCCUCCAUUCCAAAUGAUAGGUCAUUUUAGCUGUGUUGAGUCGAAUUUCUCUAACUUUGACCAAAUUUAUGAUAGAAUGAACCAAUAUCUACAACAUCAAAUUUGCAUUAAAUUCUCCAUGAAAUAUGUCUUGAUAUAGCAUUUAUUUGAACUUGUAGAUGCCAGUACAUUUUUCUAUAGACUUGGUCAAAGUUAGAGAACUUUGACUUAGGAAAGCUAAAGUGAACUAUAAUUUGGAACAUAGUAGUAGAUUGUUAGUCUGAUCCAUGGAGAAAUGGCCAGGUGUUCUGCCUCUGUGAGGUGUACUGUGAUCAAUUAUAUGAAUCUAGUGAUUUUGCCAGCCUUUUCUGCAGCAGCAGAUUUGCAGCUUUUUCAUUGUGCUUGGUGGCAAUUAUCAGGGUCACCAACUCCUACAUUGCUAGGAUGGGGUCAAAGUGCUGAAAGAUCAUAUUAAUGUCGCUGCUACUGCACACCAUUUGCAUGCUGCUGUUGCGGUGCUGGUAUUCAGUGUAAAUAAUUUAAAUGUUUAGUCAAUUGGUAACGCACUUCGGUUCAUCUCUGCUACAUGGCCUUUGCAUGCCUAGUUAGCUACAUACUUUUGCUGUGUUGUUUGUCGUACUUGGCAUAAAGAGUUCCCCGUAAUUACCUUUUAUGUUUGUCAUGAAAAGGGAACUGAUAAUUGAUGCUUUGUUCUUGCUGAGUUGUUUGUGGGGCCUUCCAUGUAAUUUGUUCAAACGUUGUUAUUGAUCAUUUUUUUCAACUUGCAUAUAGUUCCAAUCUUUGGAUGCAUUUGCUUCAGCCCAUUAUUGAUGUCUGAAACACCCCCUCAGAUGACAUUAAAAGGAGAUGGAAGUAUAAAGAGAGGAUGUUUGUUGAAGGAUUCAGUUUGGUGUGGUGUGCUGAUGAUUGUCCCUGCUGUUGAUGUUUGGAUGAAUUGCUCAAGUGGCUGACAGCCGAGGUGUGGAUAUGGCAAAUGCUGAUCAUCAUGGCCGAUAGAGACAGCUGGUCAGAAAUCCUGCCAGCAGUUUGGAAAAGAAUGUGCAAGUGGAGAGGUCCAACAAGGCAAAAGGGACUAAGGGAGGAAUUCUUCUCUUGGAGUGGGGGUUAAAGUGGCUUAUCUUAACAUGCAUCCGAUCCUCCCUCUCGGGCCUGUGAUAACGAGAUUCAGAGGAUGAUGCCUCGUCAAUAUGGUUCCUGUUUCGUCACCUUAUUAUAUGAAAAAGCAAUGCCUCCUAUCAACCACCCAAGAACCUAACCCUUGAAAGAAAAAAUCAACAUGGAAGGGUCUCUUGUGGGGUUGAUAAAUAAUUUGGUUUGGUGUUCUUGUCUGUUUUCGGCUCGACACAUUAAUGUCAUAAUCGAAAUGCCACAUGAAGUCUGGCAGCAGCUUGAUCUGAAUCAAAGUCCAUUGUUCAGUUUGUGGCCCUGGAAGAGCUAGAAUGAAAACUUGACUGUGCAUGUACAUAUGGUAGGUAAAACUUUCCUUUGUCGUGACUUGUGAGUUUCGCCAUAUAUCUUGCAAACAGUAAAAUGAUUGUGCAUAUGCUGGACCAUGAUUUAUGUAUAUAUGGCAAGAGGAUGAAAAAUCAUUUGCUUGCAGAAA